CCAUAUCUCCGUGGAGGGUGCAGGGUUUAUGGAGCAAACGUCCAACGACAUAAGCUGUAGUCUUAGUCAACCGUGAAUGAGGACAGGUGACACGCGCCGGCACACGUUCAUCGAUGAUGAAGCACAUCAAGGUAUAGGAUAAUAUGGUGACGAUAUGUUAUACAUAUCCGUUGGAGCGAAGAGAGAACAGGUGAAGCACCUGCUGUUGGUUAACGCCAGCUUAACAGAGACUUGAGUGAAGCAGUAGCAGGUGUAUUCUCCAUGUAUCUACGCUGCUGUAUGCUAAUUGGGCCAGAGUUAGCGCUCUUCAACUGGGAUUUAACGAGCCUCAUCAUCUAACUGGAAGUAGAUCACCUGCUACGGAACUGACCAUAAUCAUAUCACGUGUGGGUUACGGCUGAGAGAAUUUGGAUAAGAUAUACUUAAUUCCAACACACACGAGUUAUCCCCUAGGGUUUUUACAGUACAAUUUAUAAUAGACUUUAUACAGAACACUUUAAGUGUAUCCUUACAUGCACUCAUUCUAUGUUAACACUCACCCGGAAGCAACAGCAUUACAGGGGUGCAGCAAUGUAAGGUGGUGUAGAGGAAAUGACUGUCCACUUCACAGCCUAGUUUCAACAGUUAUUAUAAACACAACGAAAAUUAUUUAAACAUCAAAAUACUGUUUGAAAUGCAUCGAAUACAUCCGUCAACUUCAUUGGUUUAUUUCAAAAGGAACUGCACAUUUGCUAAAUAUUUAUUUACCAACACUUUCUUUUCUCAAUUCAAUUUUUUACCAGUACUUUAUUACUUACUGUCUUUCCAAUGACUUGACACAAAAACAAUUGAAUUAUCGUCUUACCAAAGUGACAUGUCAAGCUAUCAUCAUAAUUUACAUCAAUGACUAAAUAAAUUUUUUUUGGAAAUACACAAGUACACCAUAAACACCUUAACUUCUCAGAAAAAUAGACUGAAGAUUAUAUAUACUCUAGACUCUAUUGAAACUCAUCGAAAAAGUAGCAAUUGAAUUGUUGAAUACAAUGUAAAUAAGCAUUCUUUAAUGCGUAAUUACAGUGGCAGUAAAUCUAUUCAAAUUCCUUGAGAAUUUCCAAAAAUAAAUAGUCGUAACAUAAUUAACACUAAGAUAUGCCAACUAGACUCUUUUGACUCCUAAGAGCCAUACAGGUAGCUGAACCUUGCUUACUCGGGCUCAUUAUGUUAAUGCAAGUUAAGCGACCUAAAAUUUGCUUCAGGUAAUGACUUGGAUCUCAAACUUUACUUUGUUCUCAAUUUAACAAGGUUGGUGAUAAAUUAGUCUUACUUACUGACAAUUGGUAUGUCUAGUACUAGUUAUUAGACUAUUUAUUACUUUAAACAUUGAUUUUAUUUAAAGUCAAAUUGAAAUUUGGCCAUUUUCUUCAAAAAUUCUAAUGAUACGUUACUAACCACUAGAACUUGAUGAAUGAUAAAAAUUCAAUAAUGUUGUACGAAUUUAAAAAAAGGAAUUAAUAUAAUAAUCAGGGCAAUGUGAAGCUGUGCAAAAUACUGAAGAAAAGAAACGAAUACAUUCGUGAAGUAAAAAGAAAGAUAUUGAACAUAUCUUGUUGCACAAUGAUCUCUCGGAGGGUCCAGCAGGUCGAAGAAAUCGAGGACGUCCAUCGAUCUCAUGGCGGCAGAUAUGUCAGACUUAUCCGAUUCCCGUGUCACCGAAUUAUACAAUAUACAAUAUACACAUGCGUGAGUAGGACUUGGAGAGAAAAUAACAUGAAUAAUAUAAAGAAGAAAAGAAUAUGUUUGAUGGUAAGGGGUAAAGUGUUUCGUGGUAUGACGAUAAAUCGUGGGCGCGGGGUCGGCGCCAUUCGCGUCAUGAAUCGCAGAAAGCAUCGCGUACACUGCGACGUAACUCGCACGAUCACGCGCCCAGGGGGGCACAAGUAAAAAUAUGGGGUGUCUUGGAAUAACAGCACCGGUUUAUCCUGCAUAUCGCCAUGACGUUUAUAAGGACAUGCACCAAACUUGUUGCUUGUCGUGUCGUUAUCGACGAGUUUGUCAGUGAAAUAAUCAAAUCUUUCUGACCAUUUUUCAUAAUAUCGACUCAGUGCUAUACCUUUAAAUUCAAAAGUUGCUCACUUAGCUGUCAUAGAAACCCUGAACAGCCUUAAUUAUCAACUACUAUCAACAAUAAAAUAUUCAUUGAUAAAGUAUUGAAGAAUUACACCAGAAGUUC